UGGGGGGAAUCGAGGAUACUACAGGGAGAGGUUUUACAAGACUGUCAGACACAGUCACAGUCGCUCACGUGACGGUGUGGAGGCUGGUGUGGUCGAUGGAGAAUUUGGCUGGAGCUGUGAAGGGAUUAUUGAACUGACCAACAAAUGAUGAAAUGAUGCUGUAGUUCUUUGUUGAAUAAAGCUCAGUCACAUAAGAGGAAACUGACCGCGACCUGCUUCACGUGCACCCCAUUUAGAUAAAUGCAUGUGAACAAUGGACAUCUCACACUCUAUUCAAAUUGUGUGUAUUGUAAGCACCAACUCACAGGACUGCGAUGUUGGCACUCGGCUCGACCCACUAUCGAUGUGAUUUCAUUUCUAUCUGCUUCCACAACUUUGACCUUGCGCAACGGCAGCAUUUGGUAAGCAAUGAUUUAUCUGCCAAAUAAAUGUGUUGGCUCCAUUGAGAAUGUGUUUAAGGUGUGGGGUCACUCACUAGGUCAAAAAUGGCGGCUCAUAAAUCGAAGCCUAGAAACGACUCAGACGAGGUGAAAGAUGAGCAAGGAAAGGGUCAUUUUGAAGGGAAAAGGUUUCAGAAUGAAAAAUUAGUCAACUUAUAAAAAAGUAAAACAAUCUAGAGAGGAAUACGGUGCAAUUUUGAGCUGCAUGAAAGCGAGACACUUAAGCUGCCGUCAUUGGACACCUUACCUUGAGUGAGAUCCAGUGCUAAGAUGGUAUAUCAGUCAAUCUGACAGCGUGAGGUUAGAGGGCUCAUUUGAGAAGUGAAGGCCAGUGUCCCUCUCGGUGAAGUGAGAUCAUGGCGCUUUAGUUGCAGCUCACCUGCCUGGAAAAUCUACUUACCUGCCUCUCGUUCAGACUUAUAAGUCUCGCUGAGGCUAGUGUGUGCUGUCUGUUGUGACAUUGAGUGUCACUGAGUGGAAUGAUGAGUGAUGGCCGUCACCGAGCAGCAACUACUUUGAAUAGGAGGUGUUUGUGGAACUUUGUUUGGAACUAAAAUUCUUCAUUUGAACUCGGACCAGAGUGACACAUUUCAGAAAACAGGCAGUAACAUUUCUUUGUGUCUGGAACAGUUCUUGGUCAGAUACCCUUCCUGAAGGUUUCACAACAAGUCGAUUCUUGCUCUUCACGACACGUAACACAAAGUCACACAUUAGUGAUAACAAUCACUUCCACACCGCUCCCUUCCCAUCCCACCAAGAGCUGCUUUGCCAAGGUAAGCACAUCGCUGCAUAAGCUGUCACCCAAUCUCUGAAGCUCCUGCCAUCCAGCGUUACAGUGAGUUUUCAGCUCUCAUAGCUUCGUCUUCCAGCAGCAGGCAGCUCUGAAGCUCCAAAGACCCACUGAACACUAGCUGCUCAUCGCCGAACAGCAGACAGACACGGCUGGUGAUUAGCUGGUGAACAAAAUGGUGCUCAGAGACCAAAA